ACCCGCUGAACUUAAGCAUAUCAGUAAGCGGAGGAAAAGAAACUAACUAGGAUUCCCCGAGUAGCGGCGAGCGAAAGGGGAGAAGCCCAGCGCCGAAGCGCGCGGCCCCUGGCCGUAGCGCAAUGUGGCGUUUCGGCGGCGAUGAGUGGCGGCCGUCCUGGCACGCGUACCUCUGAAUGGGUCUGCCCGCAGCGGGUGUCAGGCCUCUAGGUGCCGAGCGGACGGUCGCGGCAAGUCGUCGUCGCGGAGUCGGGUUGCUUGAGAGUGCAGCCCAAAGUGGGUGGUAAGCUCCAUCUAAGGCUAAAUACCUAGUGCGAGACCGAUAGCAAACAAGUACCGUGAGGGAAAGUUGCAAAGAACUUUGAAAAGAGAGUUCAAGAGUACGUGAAACCGUUCAGAGGCAAACGGACGGAACUGGGCGAGUUCGCCGUCGUCAUUCAGCCGGCGCGUCUUCGGGCGCGACGGUGCACUUGGCGGCGGCGGAGCACGACGACCGCCUGUCGAGUCGUCAGAAGCUCGGCGGCAAGGUGGCGACGCGCUCGCGCGUCGUGUUACAGGCCGCCGCGGCGUUGGCAGACUUGGCGGGCGAGGAGCGCCUGCGGUGCCCUCCCUCUGCUUGGGAGCGGCCCGCGCGUGCUGGCUGCGGGGCCGCCGGCGGCGAACUGCUCGCAGUUUGUCGUUUGAGCGCGCCUCUUGUCUGGCCGCGCGGUGCCGCGGGCACCCGGGGUCCGGGUCGUGUGGUUCCUGGCACUCCGUCCGACCCGUCUUGAAACACGGACCAAGGAGUUGAGCACGUGCGCAAGUCGAUGGGCAUCAAGAACCCCAGUGGCGCAGCUAAGGCAAAACGGGCGUGAUCCGGCACUGGCGUGCCGGCGCAACGCCGGCCCUCGGCCGACUCGCUGCGAGUGGCCGAGGCGCAAGAGCGUGCGUGCUCAGACCCGAAAGGUGGUGAACUAUGCUUGAGCAGGGCGAAGCCAGAGGAAACUCUGGUGGAGGCUCGCAGCGAUCCUGACGUGCAAAUCGGUCGUCAAACUUGAGCAUAGGGGCGAAAGACUAAUCGAACCACCUAGUAGCUGGUUCCCUCCGAAGUUUCCCUCAGGAUAGCUGGCACUCGGGAUAAAUGGUUUUAUCCGGUAAAGCGAAUGAUUAGAGGCAUUGGGGACGAAACGUCCUCAACCUAUUCUCAAACUUUAAAUGGGUAAGAGGCGCGACCCUUCCUGAUCGGGGUCGCGUGCUUGAACAGAGAGUGCCCAGUGGGCCGUUUUUGGUAAGCAGAACUGGCGCUGUGGGAUGAACCAAACGUGCGGUUAGGGUGCCUAACGCACGCUCAUGAGAUACCACAAAAGGUGUUGGUUGAUAUAGACAGCAGGACGGUGGCCAUGGAAGUCGGAAUCCGCUAAGGAGUGUGUAACAACUCACCUGCCGAAUCAACUAGCCCUGAAAAUGGAUGGCGCUGGAGCGUGCGACCCAUACCGCACCGUCGGGGCAAUGCGUGCGAAAUGCCAGGCCCCGAUGAGUAGGAGGGCGCGUUGGUGGCGUUGAAGCGUAGUGCGUGGGCACGCGUGGAGCCGCUUUCGGUGCAGAUCUUGGUGGUAGUAGCAAGUAUACAAAUGAGAACUUUGUAGACCGAAGUGGAGAAGGGUUCCAUGUGAACAGCAGUUGGACAUGGGUCAGUCGGCCCUAAGAGAUCGGAGAAUUCCGUUCUGAACGGGGAGACAGUCAGUGCUGCGAUUGUGCGGGAUGAGGUGGGGGCGAGAGAGAGAGAGAGGGAGCUGCGCUGAGCAAACACACGCAGAGCGGGGUCGCGCCGUGCCGGCGACCGGACUGUGGGCGCGCGCGCGCCGUCAAAAAUGGGUGCUUAGGCUCAUAGGAAUUGACGGAAAGCGCGGCGUGUCGCGUGUCCGGCCGGCCGCCGGCUGCCACGGCAACGCAUUUGAUCUCGUUGUCGUAGGCGGCGGCGCGACCGUUUGGCCGCCAACAAACAAACAAUUAUAAUACAUGUCUAGCUCAGCUCAGCAGCGGCUCUCUUCAACUCUUUCUUUAGCUCUCUAUUGAACGCGCCUCCCCGCGCGCGCACGCACUGGGUGAGCAUGCACACCCCGAUGUGAUCGAAAGGGAAUCGGGUUAAUAUUCCCGAACCUGGCAGUGGAGAUUGGGCCUUCGGGCCCCAGUGCGGUAACGCAACCGAACUCGGAGACGCCAGCGUCGAUCCCGGGAAGAGUUCUCUUUUCUUUGUUAGGAGCGGACUCCCUGGAAUUGGCUUGUCCAGAGAUAGGGACGUUGCAUCCGUAAAGCGUCGCGCCUCACGCGGCGUCCGGUGCAUCGGCGCUGGCCCUUGAAAAUCCGAGGAAGGCAGUGUAAUUUUCACUCCAGGCCGUACCCGAAUCCGCAGCAGGUCUCCAAGGUGAACAGCCUCUGGUCGAUAGAACAAUGUAGGUAAGGGAAGUCGGCAAAUCCGAUCCGUAACUUCGGGAUAAGGAUUGGCUCUGAGGUGCGGGCUGCUUCGGGUCGCGGCAAGAAGCGGACCGCGCGUUGGCUGGACUGAGUGAGCCUCGACCGGCGAGCUCGGACCGCCGCCAGCGCGCGUCCGUGGGCAGCCGUUGCUUUCGCCGGCGUCGGCCUCGGUCGGCGUCGGCUUCGUUCGGCCUAAACGCACAGCACAGAACUGGCACGGACUCUGAGAACACGACUGUCUAAUUAAAACAAAGCAUCGCGAUGGCCGCGGGCCGGUGUUGACGCGAUGUGAUUUCUGCCCAGUGCUUUGAAUGUCAAAGUGAAGAAAUUCAACCAAGCGCAGGUAAACGGCGGGAGUAACUAUGACUCUCUUAAGGUAGCCAAAUGCCUCGUCAUCUAAUUAGUGACGCGCAUGAAUGGAUUAACGAUGUUCUCACUGUCCCUAUCUACUAUCUAGCGAAACCACAGCCAAGGGAACGGGCUUGGCAAAUACAGCGGGGAAAG
rnacentral:rRNA from 1 species